rnacentral:lncRNA from 1 species
UCGACGCUCGUACAAAAUUUCUUUGUUCGACAUUUCCUUUCGCUGGUCGUGCUAUAUCAAAUCCUGAGUUCAGGUGAAUUUCUGCUUCUCUUUCUUCUUUUUACUUUAGCUUUAGGAUUAGCAAAAAUUCUGAAGAUAUUGAACCAUGAACAUCUUGAAAGGAACAUGCAUGCGAUUUCGAUGUGGGCUACUUUCUUCAGUCUUGCAUUAGAAAGAGCAGUUAUUAUAUUUCAUUUCUAUUUGAAGGUUCACAAGGGAAAAGAAAGACUGAAUAAUUAACUCCCAGAAUUUUGCAGCUUAAAAACAUGGAGUAGGUUGAGUAAAUAAAGUUGCGAUUGGAGGUUCGGUUUUGGGUUUUUACUGACUUAUACUUUCAAACUCCAACUUAGUAUCGUGUUAGCAUAAUUUUAGAAAUCACGUAAUAAUCUAUAUCAGCCCAUAAUAUUUUUCUUUGUUAGUGUGAUCCUGUAUCAGUCAGUAUUAUUUUUCUUUGUUAGCAUGAUCUUGUUAGAGUAAUUUUAGAAAUUACAUAAUAACUUAUAUCAGCGAGUAAUAUUUUUCUUUAUUAACAUGAUCUUAUAUCAUCAUGUAUUAGUUUUCUUGUAUGAAGUUUGUACACGAGCAUAUAUAACCCUUGAGAUAUACCGAAUAUGAUGGAGUAGAAAAAUAAAAUCAUUUUUCUCUCUCUUUUUUUCUCUUGUUUUCCUCUUCUUCUACAAAUAUGUUAACAUACUGUAUGUAUGUUACAUAGCUAUGUCAAUAUAUGCAUCAACAUAUUUCCUUGUGCAUGAGACAUGUAAUGAAAAAUAUACUGGAUGUUUCGUACAUGUCCUUGCAGGAGGCUCAGCUCUCUAUUUUGACUUGGAAAUCAAUAAGAAAUCUCCCAAAGCCAUCUGUAAACCAGAAUCUUUUCCAUUAUUCCAGUCUUUCCACAUAAUUUGAAGAAUGGAAAAACUGGAGUUAAAAAAUAUAAAACGGUCAGUGAAAAGGUAAUAAGCUAUCUUCCAAACAAUUUUGAUAGAAAGAAUAUAAAGUUUCACAGAAAAAAAUAAGGAAAAGAUGGGGUGAAAGGAGAGAAAAGGCCAUGUUCCCUAAGAAUGUGGUGCGAGAAAAGAGAACCUUUAUCACAAAGUUCUCAUAGGCCUGAACAUUGACCACUUCAUAAUGGGCUUUGAAUGCCUUGCAGGUGCCCUUUCUAUGAAAGCCAUAUUAAGUUAAUCUUGUUUAUUUUAUAAUUAGGUACUGUUAAUAGUUGAAAUGACAUCUUCUUCUAUUUGUGCAACAGUGUGACCAGCACAAACAAUAAAAAUAAUUGAAAGGCAUCGAUAUGGCGAGACCCACAUGAAUGGCAGGUGACUAGUGGGUCCUUCCUAUGUGCAGGAAACUAAGAGCUAGAGGACAUGACAAGGUGGCAGAUUUGCUCUUUCUUUGUGAACAGAAAGGAAGCAAAUUAAUGCAUCAUAACUAUUCUCAUGUCUUGAUAAAAAUGGCUUUAUUGGACAUGUGGCUUUAGUUCCUCAUUGUCUAGAAAAAUUGCAAUUGAUAACACCUUGCUAGAAAUGCUUUUGCUGCAAAAAUUAUUGCAUUCAGGAGAAGAUUUUAAUGGAGCAUUUUACACUUUUAAUAGACCUUUUACAAUUUGUGAAAAAUUAGUUCUCUCUUAGUAGUUACUAAGACAUGUUAGCAUUGCUCCGACGAGAAUUAAUACGGCUCAAGGACUAUAUUCACCUAGCUUGAUCUGAUGUUGGCCUCAUCAAGUCUCCAAAGCCAAAUCCAGUUGGGAUCUCUAGUGUAAUCAAAGCCACCUAGUUAGACAACCAAGUCUCUUCCUGAAGGGUUCGCUCACCAGCACACGUAUUUUUGGAUUUCAGCAUUCCAUUUCUUUUCCUAAGAAUUUGUUUGUAAACCUGCAAGCUAUUUCCUGCUAUUGAGAUCUUCGAUGAAAAGAAAAUUGCUGC